UACGGGGGGAGCAAGCGUUGUUCGGAUUUACUGGGCGUAAAGGGCGCGUAGGCGGUCGUGACAAGUCACUUGUGAAAUCUCCGGGCUUAACUCGGAACGGUCAAGUGAUACUGUCGGACUAGAGUACAGAAGGGGCAACUGGAAUUCUCGGUGUAGCGGUGAAAUGCGUAGAUAUCGAGAGGAACACCGGUGGCGAAGGCGGUUCUCUGGGCCUUACCUGACGCUGAGGAGCGAAAGCGUGGGGAGCGAACAGG
rnacentral:rRNA from 1 species